rnacentral:rRNA from 1 species
AUUGAACGCUAGCGGGAUGCCUUACACAUGCAAGUCGAACGGAGUGGCGAACGGGUGAGUAAUGUAUCGGAACGUGCCCAGUAGCGGGGGAUAACUACGCGAAAGCGUAGACAAUACCGCAUAAGCUUGGAGCGGGCGCUAUUGGAUUAGCUAGUUGGUGGGGUAACGGCUCACCAAGGCGAAGAUCCGGAGCUGUUUCGAGAGGACGACCAGCCACACUGGGACUGAGACACGGCCCAGACUCCUACGGGAGGCAGCAGUGGGGAAUUUUGGACAAUGGGUGAAACCCUGAUCCAGCCAUCCCGCGUGUGCGAUGAAGGCCUUCGGGUUGUAAAGCACUUUUGGCAGGAAAGCGGUACCUGCAGAAUAAGCACCGGCUAACUACGUGCCAGCAGCCGCGGUAAUUC